CAGCAGCCGCGGUAAUACGAAGGGGGCUAGCGUUGCUCGGAAUGACUGGGCGUAAAGGGCGCGUAGGCGGCGGCCAAAGUCAGGCGUGAAAUUCCCGGGCUCAACCUGGGGGCUGCGUUUGAUACUGGGAGUCUUGAGUUCGAGAGAGGUGAGUGGAAUUGCGAGUGUAGAGGUGAAAUUCGUAGAUGUUCGCAGGAACACCAGUGGCGAAGGCGGCUCACUGGCUCGAUACUGACGCUGAGGUGCGAAAGCGUGGGGAGCAAACAGGAUUAGAUACCCCCGUAGUCCCUGUCUCUUAUAC
rnacentral:rRNA from 1 species